UACGUAGGGGGCGAGCGUUGUCCGGAUUCAUUGGGCGUAAAGAGCUCGUAGGCGGCUUGGCAAGUCGGGUGUGAAAUCUCUGGGCUUAACUCAGAGAGGCCACUCGAUACUGCUAUGGCUAGAGUCCGGUAGGGGACCAUGGAAUUCCUGGUGUAGCGGUGAAAUGCGCAGAUAUCGGGAAGAACACCCGUGGCGAAGGCGGCUCUCUGGGACGGUACCGACGCUGAGGCGCGAAAGCCAGGGGAGCAAACGGG
rnacentral:rRNA from 1 species